GGCUCAGGACGAACGCUGGCGGCGUGCCUAAUACAUGCAAGUCGAACGCACGAAGUUGAAGAGCUUGCUCUUUGACCAAGUGAGUGGCGGACGGGUGAGUAACACGUGGGUAACCUGCCCAUUAGAGGGGGAUAACAUUCGGAAACGGAUGCUAAUACCGCAUAGUUUCAGGAAUCGCAUGAUUCUUGAAGGAAAGGUGGCUUCGGCUACCACUAAUGGAUGGACCCGCGGCGUAUUAGCUAGUUGGUGAGGUAAUGGCUCACCAAGGCAAUGAUACGUAGCCGACCUGAGAGGGUGAUCGGCCACACUGGGACUGAGACACGGCCCAGACUCCUACGGGAGGCAGCAGUAGGGAAUCUUCCGCAAUGGACGAAAGUCUGACGGAGCAACGCCGCGUGAGUGAAGAAGGUUUUCGGAUCGUAAAACUCUGUUGUUAAA
rnacentral:rRNA from 1 species